GGUUAAGCGACUAAGCGUACACGGUGGAUGCCACGGCGGUCAGAAGGCGAUGAAAAUUGUCUGCGAUAUAGCGCCGGUAAGGUGAUAUGAACAAGAUUAUAACCGGCAUUACCGAAUGGGAAACCCAGUGUGAUUCGUCACACUAUCAUUAACUGAAUCCCAUAGGUUAAUGAGGCGAACCGGGGAACUGAAACAUCUAAGUACCCCGAGGAAAGAAAUCAGCCGAGAUUCCCCAGUGGCGGCGAGCGAACGGGGAGGCAGAGGCCUGAAUCAGCAUAUGUGUUGAGUGGAAGCGUCUGGAAAGGCGCGCGUACAGGGUGACGGCCCAUGCACAUAGCCGCUGCAUGGCACCGGUAGUAGAGGCGGGACACGUGGUAUCCUGUCUACGAAUAUGGGGACCAUCACUCAAGGCUAAAUACUCCUGACGACCGAUAGUGAACCAGUACCAGAGGAAGGCGAAGAACCCCGGCGAGGUGAAAAAACCUGAAACCGUGUACGGCACACGAAGCGAGGUAGAGGCCCCACCACUAAGCCAGUGGUGAACUCCCACAUACGCAUCCCUUUGCUGAGGAUACGGUUAACGGGCGCAGCGACGUUCAACCUCAAAAAGCAGGGGGCUUAGUGGUGGGGUGACUGCAUGCCGCACAACAAUGGGUCAGCGACGCAUAUUCUGUAACGAGUUAACCGUAUAGGGGAGCGGAGAAACCGAAGUCUUAGUGGGCGGGUAGUUGCGGGGUAUGGAGCCAGAAACCCGGUGAUCUAGCCAUGGGCAGGUUGAAAGUUUGGUGGCAACUGGAGGACCGAACCGACUAAUAUUUGAAAAAUUAGCGGAUGGCUGGGGGUGAAAGGCCGGUAAAACCGGGAGAUAAGCUGGUUCUCCCCGAAAGCUAUUUAGGUAGCGCCUCGUGAAUUCAUCUCCGGGGGUAGAGCACUGUUUCGGCUAGGGGCCAUCCCGGCUUACCAAGCGAUGCAAACUGCAGGCCACCGGAGAAUGUUAUCACGGAGGCACACGGCGGGUGUAUGUCCGUCGUGAAAGAAGCUGGCAGACCGCCAGCUAAGGUCCCAAGUCAUGGUUAAGUGGAAUGAUAUUGGGAAGGCCCGAACAGCGAGGAUGUUGGCUUAGAAGCAGCCAUCAUUUAAAAGCGUAAUAACUCACUGGUCAAGUCGGCCUGCGCGGAAGAUGUAACGGGGCUAAACCACAUACUUUGGCUGCGGCAGCGCUGAUGCGUUGUUGGUAGGGGAGGCGUUCGCAGCAAGCCUGCGAAGGUGGCCUGGCGGGUUGCUGGAGGUAUCCAGAAGUGCGAAUAUGCUGACGCAAAAGUAACGAUAAAGCGGGUGAAAAACGCUCGCCGGAAAGACCAAGGGUUCCUGUCAGCAACGUUAAUCCGGGGCAGGGUAGAGUCGACCCCUAAGGCGAGGCCGAAAGGCGUAGUCGAUGAGGAAACGGGUUAGCUAUUCCCGUACCGGGUGUUUACUGCGAAGGGGCGGAGAAGACGCUAUGUUGGCCGGGCGACUUGCGUUUGUGAUUUAAGCGUAUAGGUAAUGUGUUCCGAGGUAAAUCCGGUUCCCACUUUAACACUGAGGCGUGAUGCGCACGUGCUGAAACGCUCAAGCUGCCUACUUCGAGGAAAACCUCUAAGCAUCAGGUAACAUCAAAUCGUACCCCAAACCGACACAGGUGGUCAGGUAGAAACCACCAAGAGCGCUUGAGAGAACUCGGGUGGGUGAAGGAACUAGGCAAAAUGGUGCGCUUCGGGAGAAGACGCAUGACACGUAGGUGAAGUGAUUUUACUCAUGGAGUAGAAUUGACCGAAGGUAGCGGCAACUGUUUUAUUAAAAGCACAGCGCGCUGCUGCAAACGUGGACAUUAUACGGUGUGACGCCUGCCCGGUGCCGGAAGGUUGAAGAUUAUUAAGGGUCAGCAAGCCAGCUCUGAUCGAAGCCCCGGUAAACGGCGGCCGCUAACUAUAACGGUCUAAGGUAGCGAAAUUCCUUGUCGGGUAAGUUCAAACCUGCAGCGGAAAAUGGCGUAAUGAUGGCGGGCGCAAUGCUCCACCCGAGACUCAGUGAAGUGAACUCUUCGAAGAUGCAGUGUGUACCGCGGCAAGUGGAAAGACCCCGUGAACGCGCACCAACUUGACGCUGAACAUUGAGCCUUGAUGCUUGGCCAGGAUAGGUGGGAGAGCUUUGAAGUGUGGACGCCAGUGCGCCGGGGCGCGGCGCGCGAAAUACCACUGCUAUGUUUGAUGUUCUAACGUGGACCCGUGAUCCGGGUUGCGGACAGUGUCUGGUGGGUAGUUUGACUUCAGGGCGGUCUCCUCCUAAGAGUAACGGAGCACGAAAGGUUGAAUGCUGGUCGGACAUCAGGAGGUUAGUGCAAUGGCAUAAGCCAACGACCGCGAGCGUGACGGCGCGAGCAGGUGCGGCAGGUCUGCCAACCGUCCGGUGGGUUCUGGUGGAAGGGCCAUCGCUCAACGGAUGGGUACUCCGGGAUAACUGGGCUGAUACCGCCAGAGUUCAUAUCGACGGCGGUGUUUGGCACUCGGUAUGGCUCAUGCAUGCUGUAGAACGGUAGUCCCAAGAAGGGUAUGGCUGUUCGCCAUUUAAAGUGGUACGCGAGCUGGGUUUAGAACGUCGUGAACAGUUCGGUCCCUGCGCAGUGGGCGCUGGAGAACUGAGGGGCUGCUCUGGUGCGAGGACCGGAGUGGACGCAUCACUGGUGUUCGGGUUGUGCCAAUGGCUGCCCGGUAGCUAAAUGCGGAAGAAGAUAAGUGCUGAAAGCAUCUAAGCACGAAACUUGCCCCGAGAUGAGUUCUCCCUGAGACUUUAGGUCUCCCUGAAGGGCGUUGAAGGCGACGACGUUGAUGAGCCGGGUGUGUAAGCAGCGAUGCGUUGAAGCUAACCGGUACUAAUGAACCGUGAGCUUAACCUU
rnacentral:rRNA from 1 species